AAGCCAUGACUAGGGCACUUCCUAAGCAUUGACUUAUACCUCUCCCAUGCUUCAUUAAGAGAUUCAUUAACACCUUGAGAGAAUACUGAAAUAGUUGUUUUGGCUU